rnacentral:lncRNA from 1 species
UUGAUAUCCGGAGAAGGCCGGUUAUGAACCAAGGUUAAAAUCAGACCUUGAGGCACAAAACUGAGUCUCGACGACAUUUCCUGGACUCUUUGGCAGAUCAAAGAAUAGGAUUUGAUAGAAGAUUGGAUAGAGUCUCUAUAGGCAUUGAUUUUGGAUGAUUUGAAUGUGUGUUGACUUUGUAAGAGCUUUGCAAAGUCAAGGUUUGUUUUGGAUGACUUAGAUUUUGUGAAAUAAGACAGGGUUUAUAUUUUGGGUGAUUUCAAGAGUUUUGUAAUAGAUCUAUGGAUGAAAUUUUGUGGGUUAAUGGUUAUAGUUGUGUUCAAUAUGUUUUGUGAAUUUGAACUCAAUUUAAUAGUUGAAUUGAGGAUUAUUGAGGUUUAAGUGGAUCAAGGUCUCAGAAAGUAGAAUUUUAGGUCUAGUGAGGAUUUUUAAGAUUUCUUACAAUCUACUAGUUGGAUUGGAGUGAAAUUUAUGUGAGAAGAUAUAAGACUUAUUUUUCUAUGUGUAUGAGAAUUUUAAGAUCAAUCGAAUGGUGAGAAGAGAGAUAUUGGCUCUAAGAGAUUGACAUUAAGAUUAAAAAAGGAGGCCAGCCAAUACCCGAGCACGUUUUUGAGGUUAUCGUCUAUUUGGUAAUUCCAAUCAUUUCAAAAAUUUUGUGCUUGUUUUUAACUUAGUUUUCAAAAAGUGUGAAAAUUUUGAGUUAAGAUCAAUGGUUCAUUCAUUAGUUAUUGAGGUUUAAUUCUCUUGUAGAAAUAAUUAGAAUUUGGUUAGGAAUUGAUUUAGGAUUUGCGAUUAGGAUUAGGGUUUGAUUUGGAUUUGAUUUAGGAUCUAGAGUUAAGAUUUAGGAUUUGGUUUAGGAUUUGGUUAGGAUUUGAUUUAGGAUUUGGUUAGGAUUUGGUUUAGAAUUUAGGAUUUGGUUUAAGAUUUAGGGUUUGCUUUAGGAUUUAGGAUUUGAUUUCGGAUUCAAGAUUUUAUUAGGAUUUUUUUAGGAUUUUUUUAGGAUUUAAGAUUUAAUUAGUUUUGGCCUAAAUUUUGAAUGAAGUACAAUAGGAUUUUAACUAGGAUUAAAUUAAGAUUGAAUUGAGAUGUAUUUGAGAUAUAUUUGUGAUUAUUCUAAUAUUUCUUUAAGAUUUUUUAUUAUUUCUUUGAAAUUUCUUUGAGGUUUCUUGAAUUUGAUUAAAGCUUGCUUAGCAUUAUUAUGGUCUAAUUAGAGUUUAGUUAGUAUUAUA